GAUGAACGCUAGCUACAGGCUUAACACAUGCAAGUCGAGGGGAAACGGCAUCGAAAGCUUGCUUUUGAUGGGCGUAGAACGGCGCACGGGUGAGUAACGAGUAUCCAACCAGCCCAUCAAUCGGGAAUAACCAUGCGAAAGUAAGACUAAUUCCCAAUGACAUCCCACGUAGGCAUCCGAAUGGGAUUAAAGAUUUAUCGGUGAUGGAUGGGGAUGCGUCUGAUUAGCUUGUUGGCGGGGUGACGGCCCACCAAGGCAACGAUCAGUAGGGGUUCUGAGAGGAAGGUCCCCCACAUUGGAACUGAGACACGGUCCAAACUCGUACGGGAGGCAGCAGUGAGGAAGAUUGGUCAAUGGACGAGAGCCUGAACCAGCCAAGUAGCGUGCAGGAGGACGGCCCUAUGGGUUGUAAACUGCUUUUAUAAGGGAAUAAAGUGAGUCACGUGUGACUUUUUGCAUGUACCUUAUGAAUAAGGACCGGCUAAUUCCGUG
rnacentral:rRNA from 1 species